UCUGUGCAGCUUUCGAGCGGUAGACUCACCCUGCCAGGCAGACCUAGAUUGGCAUAACCAGAGAUCAGUUCCAGUUGUGAUGCAGUGGGUGUCUACACACUUCUGAUGACACCUUUAUUUUAAAAGCUGAUGUUCCAAGGUGCAAGCGGUCUUCUCUGUCUUCUUUAUGGCCAGUAAAAUUCUCCAGAAGAGAUUUAUGGCAGCCUCACUCCCAGUAGUUUCUGCAUUUAGUGAGAUAAGCCACAGCAAUUGUCUGCUAUUUUAAAAGCACUGUGAUGCUUAAAUAUUCCAGCUGCUACAUCGGACAGGUGUCUGAUGAUCCUGAGAACAGUCAUCAAAAAAUAGAACUUGAGCCUGGAAUACAUUCUCUGGCAUAGC